GCAAGUCGACUGGAAUUCUUCUUCGGAAGAUAGUACGGUGGCGGACGGGUGAGUAACGCGUAAAGAAUUUGCCCUUCAGAUUGGGACAACUAACCGAAAGGUUAGCUAUUACCGGAUAUUAUGAGACUUUUGAUCAAGGACUUAUGAAAGCUAUAUGCGCUGGAGGAGAACUUUGCGUCCCAUUAGGUAGUUGGUAGGGUAAUGGCCUACCAAGCCAACGAUGGGUAGCCGGCCUGAGAGGGUGAAC
rnacentral:rRNA from 1 species